ACGUUGGGGUCAACUUUCUUACCGUGCGCGUCCCUCUCUGGGUCUCUCAUUCCCUGCACACACGCACCUCUUCCCCCAGCUCCCUCUACUAGUUUCCGUCUGGUAACUCCUCCGUUUCAUUCAUCCUGGGGAGGCACCGAGGGGACCAGAAAAGUGGGGUGCAGGAAAUCAAAAUGGGGCGAAAAGGAGGAAUGGCCAAGGAGAGAAGCGAGUAAAUUUCGGACGAGCCAAAGGCCUCUGGGGCGUCCCAAGUUCUCACUUGAGUCCCCACCCCCUUCAAGAGAAAAAGAAAAGGUGAAGGAAUUUGCAGUUCUGACCAUGUUUUUGCUUUUGCUGUUGCCUCCGUUUGGAAUGAUCUCCCUCUCCCCGCUUGGUGAUUGCCUAUUCAUAUUUUAGGACCCAACUGGGGUCACUCUGAAAGUUUCUUGAGCCUUGCCCUUCUUCCUUCUCAAAGUACAGUUGCUUAGUUACCCCACCGAAUUUCGAGAACAUUCAAAAGAGAGAGCGAGUUCAAAACUGGACUGGCUUUGAUUACUGGCCUGGUCACUUUAGGUGACCUUGGGCAAGUUACAUAAGGUCUGUGAGCUUCAGGAUCCUCAUCUUUCCAAGGAAGUAACAGUGCGUGGAUCUUACGGUUGUGGGAAUAAGACAAACAGGUACACAAAAAAGAAAAGUGGCUCUGGGGAAGAUCCGAGUGAGUCUACUCUAAGGAAUACUCAAUAGGAGACAAAGGUUUGGCAGAAAUUACGGAAACAAUCUGGAUCUCAGAGCACCAUCUUGAAUCUCAACAAGAAUAAUAUAUCUGGAAUUAACUAUUAUAGCUGGUGGCAACCUUUGCUAUUCCUCAGAGCAAGGUGACCAACUCAUCUUUGUUUUAGUACUUCAAGUCCUACAUCCGGAAAACCCCUCAGUACUGGGCAAUCUGGGAUGGCUGGUCACCCUACCUAGGAGUGUCGAAUUUCCUAUCCGUCCUGACUUUGAUCCUCUCAGGAAAUGUUUGGCAUUCACUGAAGACUGACCUUUAUGCAUGUCCAAGCAUCUCAUGUGGGAUUAACUCAUUAAGUGAGCUAACAUGUUGUAAAAUACUUUGCACAAUGCUUGGGAUAUAGUGUGCUCAACAAAUGCUAUUAUUUUAUUUCUUAUUAUUUAUUUUUCGGCUGCACCACACAGCACAUGGGAUCUUAGUUCCCCGACCAGUGAUCGAACCCGUGCCCCCUGCUGUGGAAGCGCGGAGUGUUAACCACUGGACCACCAGGGUAGUCCCAACAAAUGCUGUUAUUUAAGGGAGAACUGAGAGGAUAUUCAAUUUAUGACAGCAUGAAAGAAGGAAUAUGAGUUAGUGGGAAGGAGAUUCGAGUAUUCUGUACUUGUUUGCCUUCAUGACUUGUACUUACUGUGAUAGCAGAGCAGUUGUGGAAGCAACGAGGAAGGAUAUGACUGAAAGUCACAGCCAAAGCUGGGCUUAUGCAGUUACAACCAUGUAACCAGGGCAGUGAAAGCUGAUAGCACCCGCUAGUAGAAGUCUGUUAUUCCAACCGAGGGCACUUACAGCAGGUUGGGGACUGCUGUGCUGGUGGAGAGCAAAAGAUGUAAAGUAAGGAGACCUGAGAAGCAUCAGCUUCAGGAAAUACCAGGUUCCUCUUGAGACAAACUUUUUGCAAAGAAUUCCAUCUCAGGAGGAAAUAUGAACAAAACAAACAUUCCUAAGGCCCUCAAGACUCGGUUUCAUAAAUCGUGCCAGCAUUAGUUGAUGAAAGAGCCUGCCUUCCCUCCCUCGCAGCCUAACCUGCUCUCCACUGCCCACAUUUUAACCAUUCCUGGCCGGGUGUACUGUUGGCUUCUACUUCUACUUCAGGCUGACUUCCUUCUAACUAUAAUCUUCAGACAAGUAGGAAGCGUUGCUGUCUAAAAGAACUGGGAGAAAGAUCUACUCGGAUUCUCGUCCUGGCUCUGAAACAACAUACUGUAGCCUUAGGUAAGUGUGGAUCUUAGUUUCCUCAAAAAUAAAAUGAAGGGGGGAUGGACUAAAUUUCCUCUCCUGUCAUUCCAUGCAUGACUCUGUGACAUAUUCUGGUAAAGGAUGAGAGUACGGGAGGUAACACAUCCUCUGUGAGCCACUUGAGAGCAAGAGGUUGUAUCUUUGUAGCCUUAGUACCUAAACACAGUGUUGGUCAGUAACCGUUUAUGAGAUUUGUGGAUGAGAAUGGCUUGGGAUUCAAAAGACCCAGAUUUGAAUGCAAUUAUUGGUGGUACUGACUGUGGGUAACUGAGCAAAUCUGGUUCAGAGCACCUUAGCAUCUCUAUCUGCAAAAAAGCUGGAGUGAGAUUUACCACAGCCUUAUGACUCUCCAGAAUUAAUGAAUGGCUGUGAGCGAACCUACAGCUGUGCAGGUGAAAAGAACUCUGUGUUUUCAAGAUCUUGGGUUAUCCCAGUCAACUGAAAUUUGCUUCCUAGGCAGAUGCAGGAUGAACAUGUAUUGCUUGCCCUGAUUUUAGACAAAAGACUACCCAGAAUAGGCUGUGAUUCUUUCAUCCGCUUUGCUUUUUGAUGAGAUCGUGCAGAAAGCUUUAGCCUGCGACAAUGAUUCUCUCUGGCUAACACAGUAAUCAAACAAGUCUUGCUGCUUCCCUCAGCAGAAACAAAUCAAUUUAAGAACCCACUUGGGAAUUCACUGUUUCCUCUCUGCAGACCAGGUUCAAGGCUGGUCUCAUUCUGGCAGCUGAAAUCAAGCAGAAAUCCUUAGAGAACCGUGUCAUAAAGCCACAUUCACUUUUAGCUGAUUAAAAAAUAUAAAAGUAACAGCCCACAUACCUAAUGUGCUAUUUAAAAAAAUGCUUCCUCUAUUCCUUGGUUUAUAAAAAAUUCAUUCAUAUCAUUGUUCGUCUUUUCAAAAAAUAUAUCAGAAUGGUUCAGUUAAAGACAUUCAAGCAUUCGGAAUUAUAAAUUAAGUUGUUUCCUUCCCCCUUUACCCACAUUAGUGAGAUCCCUAGGUUAGUACUCUGGAGGUACAUAUUUCCUGGGCUAUUUCUUCUGCCUGAUGAGAUAAAAAGGGAGAGAAAGCAGUUUUCCUAUCAAAAGAAGCUGCGGCUUUGAAAAAGUCCUCUUCAGGGGCAAAUCUCAUCAGCCAGAAGAUUUUAACUCCUGGGCUCUGAAAGCUGCGGGGUUCAGAGAUGGGCUGGCAGAGAGAUGUCGGUUUGCUGCCCUCUGCAGGCGGCAGUUGGUAAGCCUCGAUCAGUUAGAGGAAGCAGGGAUGAAUCCUUAGGGAUCUGAAAAGAAAUAAAACAAGUUAAUGCCAAAAUAAGCUGCCAGUGGGGUGGAGGAAAUGAUUGUGUACAUCAGUCUACCAUAAAAAACCUACAGCAUUUAGGGAAUGUCAAGAUGGCCACUCUGUGCUGUUAGGUGCAAACAGGAUGUAAUAAAAUACUGUACUGCUUGAUUCAACUUUCGUAAGAAUAGAUUUAGAUUUAGUUAUACCAGAAUGUUAGAUUUUGGUUAUCUCGGUAGUGGGAUUAUGGGUAAUUUGUAUUAAAAUCCUUUUUACUUAUCUGUAUCAUCUAAACUUUCUGUAAUAAAUAUGUAUUAUUCUAGUAACAAGAACUAGUUAAAAAGUGAUUUGCCAAGGCGACUUCUUGGGUCCUAGCAGUGUUCUGUUCCUUGAUUUAGAUGCUCUACAUCGUCAUCAAGCUGUCCACUCAUGAUGGCUGCGAUUCUCUGUAUGUCAGUAUACUUCAAUUAAAAUGGUUUUUAAAAAGUGGUGUUACCGGGACUCUCACACAUUGCUGGUGGGAAUGCAAAAUGGUGCAGCCACUUUAGAAGACAUUUUGGCAGUUUCUUACAAAACUAAACAUACUUUUGUCAUAUGAUCCAACAGUCUCAUUCCUUGGUAUUUACCCAAAUGAGUUGAAAACUUACAUCCACACAAAGACCUCCACAUGGAUGUUUAUAGCAGCUUUACUUUUUUUUUUUUUUUUUUUGCCACGCUGUGCAGCAUGUGGGAUCUUAGUUCCCCCACCAGGGAUCAAACCCGUGCUCCCUGUAGUGGAAGCACAGAGUCUUAACCACUGGACUGCCAGGGAAGUCCAGUGGCUUUAUUCAUAAUUGCCAAAAAGUUGGAAGCAUCCAAGAUGUCCUUCAGUAGGUAAACGAUAAAUACCAUGUUAGUGAACAGGGGCAAGGAGUAUAUGGGAAUUCCUGCACCUUCUGCUCAAUUCUGCUGUGAACCUCAAACUGCUCUAAAAAAAAUAAAGUCUUUUUCAAACUGGCUGUACUCCUCUGGGAAUAUAUUAAAAAUUAUUGAAUUGUAUGCAAUAAAUGAGUGAACUGUAUGAUAUGUGAAUUAUAUCUCAAAGCUGAAAAAAAAGCUGUUAUAUUUUUUUAAAGUGGUUGUACUCGUAGGUGAAAAUAUCAAUAGAUAUAAAGUACUGACACAUGCUACAAUAUGGAUGAAUCUUGAAAACAUUAUGCUAAGUGGAGAAGCCAGACACAAAAGGCUACAUACUGUAUGAAAUGUCCAGAAUAGGCAAAAACAGAAAGAAGAUUAGUUGUUGUCAGGGACCAGGGGGUGGGGAAUGGGGAAUCACUGCUAAUGGGUACAGGGUUUCUUCCUGGGAUGAUGAAAAUGUUCUGGAAUUAGUGGUGAUUAAUGUGCAACUUUGUGAGUGUACUAAAAACACGUUAAUUAUAUACUUUUAAAGUGUACUUUUAAAGGGUGAACUUCAUGGCCUAGGAAUUAUAUCUCAAUAAAGCUGUUAUUUUUUAAAAAUGGGGAAAAAGGUAAUGGCAGAUUUUGGAACAUUGUCUUAAAUAGCUGUGUGCCUAGAAUUCAAAAAUCAGUCUUUCGAACAAUAUAGCGUAAUGCACGUUAAAAAAUUAGUUUCAAUUAAGAAUGGCCAGGGCUUCCCUGGUGGCGCAGCGGAUAAGAGUCUGCCUGCCGAUGCAGGGGACACGGGUUCGUGCCCCGGUCAGGAAAGAUCCCACAUGCCGCAGAGCGGCUGGGCCCGUGAGCCAUGGCCGCUGAGGCUGCGCAUCCGGAGCCUGUGCUCCACAACGGGAAAGGCCAAAACAGUGAGAGGCCCGCGUACCGCAAAAAAAAAAAAAAGA